rnacentral:misc_RNA from 1 species
AAAGUCGUAACAAGGUUUCCGUAGGUGAACCUGCGGAAGGAUCAUUAAUGAAUUUAUCGGGAGGGUCGUUUGGCUGUAACAGGUCGAUGGCUCUUUCGUUAUUUAAAUUAUUUCAAACCCAAACGUGCAUUAUACUCCUUUUUUCCUAUUAUCAAACACCAAGUCUCAAGAAUGUAAAUAUAAAAUCAUAAACAAAUAAAACUUUCAGCAACGGAUCUCUUGGCUCUC